GCUUUUGCACAGUGGCAGUAUCGUAGCCAAUAGGUUUAUCCAAGGCGCGAUUAUUGCUAAUUGAAAACUUUUCCCAAUACCUCGCCAUGAUGACUUGCAAUAUAGUCAGCAUUAGCAACUUUUGAUGGUCCCUACGGAGA
rnacentral:snRNA from 1 species